UCUCUCCCUUCUUGUCUUAGAUUCAGCCUCUGUUUUUCGCAAAUCACCUCAUAAUAGCUUAGAUCUGAAACUUUAACCCGAAAUUUUAAACCGCCGUUCACACUCUUCUCGCCGUCCGGUCGCCUGAAACCAAAGUAUGUUGUUUCUCCCCUUCCAUCCUUUCUUUCUACCGGUUCAGAUCAUCCAAAAGUCUCCUCGCCCGCGCUGACCUCCAUACGGCGCCAUUGUUCCCACCGCCCAAAAAAAUAGCUCUUUUCUCUCCUUUCCCAAAAUCUUAAAAAUACUCUCCCAAGUCACUCAUAAAAACAAAAAAAAAAAAUCCCAUGACUGAAAGCCCCUUUCAUCCUCAACGGGCCCUUUUCUGUUUCUUUUUUUUUUUUCCCGAUGGAUUCCUCAAUAGAGGACUGUGGUUGUUUGUAAUUUUUUUUUUGCUUUGUUGGCUUGGUUUUUUUAUUUUUUAUUUUUGGCUGUGACAGUUGCUAUUUAUUUUUUGGCAGUUUCGAUGGCUAUCUUAGUAGGGCUGUGGGUGGUGGGUAGGUGAGAGCUGUUCCUGGGGGGUACUUGGGAGAUCGGUGGGUUUGGCUUGGUGAUCGGCUAGCAAAGGAAAGGGAAUGGGAUGAUGGUGGCGGUUUAAGGCGAGAAGGUAUGGUGGUACACAUGGUUGCCCGUGGAGGCAAUGGCUUGUUGGAUUUUUGGCAUUGCCUUCUUCGUCCAAAAAUUGGCCUCCAGAAAAAAAUGCCUUUCAAAAGUUUUUUCAGAAAAGAUUGGCCUCCUCUCUUGUCUCAAUUUUUAGCCAGAUCCAGUUCAAAUCCCCAAAUUUUUUACAUUUGAGAAACACUUUAAUUCAAAUUUUCGAUUU
rnacentral:lncRNA from 1 species